ensembl:lncRNA
GUGCAGUCAAAAUAAAUUGUGAUCCAUGGCAACUCACUGACUAAACGCAAACAUUUGACUGCCCAGUACGGGAAUAAAGACAAUUAGAAUUUAAAUGUUGUCAAGAAAUACUGGAGUGAUGUCAGAUUGUUAAAAAAAUUGAUUAUAGACCAAUUAUAGUGUUUUCAUGUGUGUAUAUACACAAACAUCUGCAACAAUUAUCAUAUUACAUGCAUUUUUUUUCCACUUGAAGAAAACAGCUCACUACAUUUUGAAGUGCUGCAUUUUGAUUAAAGUGGGUCACCAACACAGUAAGUGUAACACAGCUCUUUUUUUUUUUUGUUAGUCACUUUUUGUUUAAUAAUACUCUUUCAAUUCAGAGCCUGGAUUUCCCCCUGAGGUUAAUAUCCAUAUCAUGCUGCAAUCAAUUGAACAGGGUAAACGAUAAGGUAGAACAUCAUUAAAACACUCCUACUACAAUGUUAAAACAUUCUACAUUGUGACAUCAUUAAAAAACACUCCUACUACAAUGUUAAAACAUUCUACAUUGUGACAUCAUUAAAACACUCCUACUACAAUGUUAAAACAUUCUACAUUGUGACAUCAUUAAAACACUCCACAUUGUGACAUCAUUGAAAUACUCCAACUACAAUGUUAAAACAUUUUACAUUGUGACAUUAUUUCAGUGAUAUCAGGAAACAACUUCUUCAUGUAUGUAUUUUCUGAUGUUUGAUCAGAGAUCUUUUAUCAGAGUAUCUCUUGUCACAUUGAUCACAGCUAAAAGGUUUCUCUCCUGUGUGUUUUCUCUGGUGUAAUGUCAGACCGCUAGAUGUAGUAAAACUCCUCCCACAUUGACCACAGCUAUAAGGUUUCUCUCCUGUGUGUGUUCUCUGGUGUAUUGUCAGACUGCUAGAUGUAGUAAAACUCCUCCCACAUUGAUCACAGCUAUAAGGUUUCUCUCCUGUGUGUGUUCUCUGGUGUAUUUUAAGUUCUGAUGAAGAUUUGCAACCUUUCCCACAGUCAGAGCAGCAAUGAGAUUUCUUCCCUGUGGGUCUCUGCUGGUGUUUCUUGAGGUGUUUUGAUGUGGAGAGACUCUUCUCUGCCUCGUCAGCAUCAUGAGGUUGUUGAGGUCCCCCAGAGGAUCCACGAUAG